CAUGGCAUAGCUAAAUAGAUAAAGCAUCUCCUUUACACUGAGAAGAUUCCCUGCGCAAUUCAGGGUGCCUUGA
rnacentral:tRNA from 1 species